CUUUUCGGGUCCAGGUUGGGCUGCUCCCUGUUGGAAAGAAAAGGUUUUUCCGCGUUAAGCGUCCCGCCAGCCCUCGGUGGCGUUGCGCCGGGCCCGGCCGUCACCUGUGGUGGCAGCGCUGAGGGGAGCGCAGGCUCGGGGCGGAGUGAGUCCUUCCCCUGGAAACGCUGUUAAAACUCCAGUUUCAGAGUCUGUUUAAAGGCAUUCGUCCCGUGAAGGCGGUGUUGAACUUAGAAAUUACACUUUCCAGUCCUAUUCUCAUUGUCAUUAUGGAGAAGAAGGACAUGAUCUGGGAGUGUGACAUUAGAACUGCGUGUCUCUCUUAUUUUCUCUUGAGAUUUGUGGCGUGGAAUUACCAGUAUGUUUAAGAGCAUUAAGCUUGCUGACCACCUAUACUUUUGCUCAAACCUGCCCUGACUGCCGAGUUUGAGGAAGAGGCCAUUUUACGGUUCAUACCAUACAGGGAUGUAGGUGAAGGGAAUAUUUGAGUGAAUCAAAGUUGAAUUUAAGAAAGAGGAAUAUGAAGCUGGAAAACCCACAACGUGCUCAUGGAGAAGGAGGGAUGAUCAAUCAGGAGGAGAGAAGCUGGUUUCCCAGAAAACUGAAGAGGUGACCCAGAUGAGCAAAGAGUAUGAUAAAAGAUUUCCUUUCGUUUGUAUAAACACUUCAAGAGUGCUUCAUGUCUGUGAAUGGAAAACAAAAGUUGCAUGA
rnacentral:lncRNA from 1 species